rnacentral:rRNA from 1 species
AUGAGUCCACCAUACCUACCUAUAUGCGGUAUUUACCUGCCGUUCCAAGUAAAUUUGUAUGUGCCAAACUCCAAACCUUCAAAUGAAAUUCUGUUUUGUAUGCUCGAGCAGCUCAUGUUACAACUAGGGCUGCCUAUAUCUUCCAUGCUAUCUAGGUUAUUCUCAAGAGGAGUGGACUCCACUCCUCAUUCACGAGAAAGGGCCGGUAACCGGGAUGCCCAGUCCCAUGAUCCAAAAAGAUCAAAGCAAAUCAAAAUAAUUAAACAAAACUCCCCCAGGGCUGUUGUUUUGGAGGCACUCAUUGUUUAG